rnacentral:rRNA from 1 species
UACAGAGGUCCCAAGCGUUGUUCGGAUUCACUGGGCGUAAGGGGUGCGUAGGUGGCUAGGUAAGUCGGAUGUGAAAUCUCGGAGCUCAACUCCGAAAUGGCAUUGGAAACUGCCUGGCUCGAGGGUUGGAGGGGGGACUGGAAUACUUGGUGUAGCAGUGAAAUGCGUAGAUAUCAAGUGGAACACCAGUGGCGAAGGCGAGUCCCUGGACAACUCCUGACACUGAGGCACGAAAGCUAGGGGAG